rnacentral:rRNA from 1 species
UACGUAGGGGGCAAGCGUUGUUCGGAAUUACUGGGCGUAAAGGGCGCGUAGGCGGCUUAUCAAGUCAGGCGUGAAAUUCCCGGGCUCAACCUGGGGGCUGCGCUUGAUACUGAUGAGCUUGAAUGCGGGAGAGGAUAGUGGAAUUCCCAGUGUAGAGGUGAAAUGCGUAGAGAUCGGGAGGAACAUCAGUUGCGAAGGCGGCUCUCUGGACCAGCACUGACACUGAGGCACGAAAGCGUGGGGAGCAAACAGG